UAGGGUUCAGUCCUCAUAUUUGGAAGCUGCUGUGUGGUUUUCUCUCACCCAAAAAAAAAAAAAAACUUGUUUCCUUCCGUCGAAGGUUUUCCUGAUUCGCAUAAGUGUGAGAGAUUUGGUCUCAUCUCUAUUUCAAGAAACGUUGUUCUACAAGCUUUGUCUGACAAAUUUUGGGGCUACCUACGGUCACAAACCCUAGAACUCCUCACUCAUCUUCAUCGCCUUUCAAUUUCUAGAGAGAGAGUGUAUGUUUACAGAUCGGAAAUGGCGGAGACCGAGACGUUUGCUUUCCAGGUUGAGAUCAACCAGUUGUUGAGUCUCAUCAUCAACACUUUCUACAGCAAUAAAGUGAUCUUUCUCCGUGAACUCAUUAGCAAUUCCUCUGAUGUAAGUCUCUCUCUCUCUCUCUCUUACAUGUUGAUUAUUGUUAUUAUUAUUGAUUUCAAGAUUGAUCUGGUUUGAAUCGUUCGUUUUUUGUUCUCUUUGAUUUAGAUCCUCCUUUGUUUAUGAAAUUUCAAGAUGUGUUGUAUAGAAAUCAAAGAUCUAUGAUUUUGUAUCUCAUUGUUUUUGUUUAAUGUUUCAAUGGAAUGGAAAAUAUGAAAAUAGAAUUGAUAUAUAUGUAUAUAUAUUUUGUAAAAAAUGUGUACUAAUCUCUAGGCAUUGAUGUUUUUAUUUAUUUAUAUUUAUCUCCCACUUUUCAUGUUGUUGCACCUGGUGCUUUAGAUUAAUGGUAUAGGUUGGUGUUGUCUAUAUAUAUAUAUACAUAUAUACACGGUAGAUUGACCAUUCUAUAACAAUAUGAUGAUCCACGUUUGAUUUGAGUAUUUAUUGUUUUAGUGUAUCAGAUCACCUAUAUUCAUUUUGGGUAUGGUAGUAAGAUUUGUGCUUGUUUAUUUGGUGAAUUAUUUAAUAUAUAAGAACAAGUCUGAAAGAUUCAAUUGUGAUUUGGAUUUGAUUUUGGCAGAUUUGAACAAGUCUAUAAGAACAAGGCAGAUUUGAUUUUGGCUUUGUUCAUAGCUUAAUUUGUUUGUGUGUUCGAGCUCGAGCUCGAGCUCGUUCGUUUGUAAACGAGCUAUGUCGAGCCAAGCUCGAGCUUUAUAAAUAUCUAGCGAGCCGAGCUCGAGCGCAACUUUCAUAACUCGACUCGAGCUCGAGCCGAGCCCGAACAUUAUCAAAUUCUAUCGAACCGAGUUCGAGCUUCACAGAACUCGACUCGACUCGGCUCGUUUGUAGCCCUAUCUACCAGAGCAGCUGAGCUUACAAACAAAGCUGACAAAAGGUUUGAUUUAUUAAUAUAAUUCGGUAGCUCCGAAAUCUGAACCCUGCUAGUAAUAUUCCUCUCGAUUCACAGUUAACAGUUAAUGGCAUCUGGGACCCCCAACGAAAUGGGUUCCGGGAAACUUGUUCGUGUGAAGAUCAUAAUCGAUACAGAUCCUGGUAUUGGUAUGUUCUCUCUCUCUCUCUCUCUCUCUCACCACUGCAUAAUUGUUUUCCCAUUUUAUUCCUUAGCUACCUGUUUCAGUGUUGAGUCAAUUGGGCUUCACAUCAUCUCUUUCAAUUCUCUCUCCCAUAUACCCUUUUGAUAUGUUGUCCCCUACUUGCAAAAAUAGAUAAACAGUUCAAUGUGGUAGGAGUUUUUUUUUUUUUGUGUGUGUGUGUGUGUGUGUGUGUAAUAUAAGUGGUUUAAGUAAUAAAUUGAUAGUUGAUUUUAAAUGGAAAAAAUUUUUAACAGAGCAUUCUAUGUUAGUGGAAUUCUUAUAUAUUUCUAGUUUUUUAAUUGCUUAUAUUAUUGGGCACGAGAUUUUAUUUACUGAAUGAUUAUUUUUUAACAAGAAUCGAUCAUAAGUAUUUGCAUAUGUGGUUGUGACAAAAAUUAAUCAUAAACAUAUUAUUUGACCCAAAAAAAAAAAAGCAAAAAGAAAAAAGAAAAAGAAGUGUCCACUAGCUCAGUCGAGAUAUGUGGUGGGUGCUGUCACCGCACUUGUGCCGUGACACCUCAUGGGAUUUGUCCCGAACUUGUUUUGAUAAUCUCAACCGCUUAUAAUAGGGUUCGUCAAACAUCUUAUCCAUAAAAAAAU